rnacentral:rRNA from 1 species
CGGAUUGCUGGCAUCCUUGCGAUGCGCGUCUAACGGACCGGCCCUUCGGGGUACUCGAGUGGCGAACGGGUGAAUAACACGUGGGUGAUCUGCCCUGCACUUUGGGAUAAGCCUGGGAAACUGGGUCUAAUACCGAAUAGGACUACGCGAUGCAUGUCGUGUGGUGGAAAGCUUUUGCGGUGUGGGAUGGGCCCGCGGCCUAUCAGCUUGUUGGUGGGGUGAUGGCCUACCAAGGCGACGACGGGUAGCCGGCCUGAGAGGGUGUCCGGCCACACUGGGACUGAGAUACGGCCCAGACUCCUACGGGAGGCAGCAGUGGGGAAUAUUGCACAAUGGGCGCAAGCCUGAUGCAGCGACGCCGCGUGGGGGAUGACGGCCUUCGGGUUGUAAACCCCUUUCAGCACAGACGAAGCGCAAGUGACGGUAUGUGCAGAAGAAGCACCGGCCAACUACGUGCCAGCAGCCGCGGUAAUACGUAGGGUGCGAGCGUUGUCCGGAAUUACUGGGCGUAAAGAGCUCGUAGGUGGUUUGUCGCGUUGUUCGUGAAAACUCACAGCUCAACUGUGGGCGUGCGGGCGAUACGGGCAGACUGGAGUACUGCAGGGGAGACUGGAAUUCCUGGUGUAGCGGUGGAAUGCGCAGAUAUCAGG